UUAUCGUGGUCAGGAUAUUUUUUUUUUAUGUUUUUUUAACUAAUAAUAAAACAUUUGCAUUUCUUUACUGAUAAAUUAAAUAAUGUUAGGCCUAGAAUAAUGACAAUUGUAAAAUUGUAAAAAGAACAAACGUCAUGCAGUUUGUUCUUUCUUCCAUUCCCAUCAUCUGGAAUUGUACCAUCUCUACAGUAUGUGCUGCUUCACACUGAAAAAAAUUGAUGCAAGCAAGCAGUAGAUAUUUCCUGACAUUCUGCUACGUCACAGUGUGCCAUCGUGGGUCACUGAGCGUCUGUAGACAGACAUCUGUGUUUUCUCCAGAGUGCUUUCUAACCCAGAUAUUUGAGAGUCAGGCCUGGCUAUGCAUUCCCAGGCAGACCGUUUGUCAGUGUCAUAUGUUUUGGCUCAUGGUCAAAUGUUUCAUUAGUAUUUAAGAUUAGCCAGCACUAGGAAAAACACAUAAUGCACUCCAUCAGGCCAGAUAACUUAAUUCAUUAAGCCAACUUUCCUUUUAUUAAAGCUAAAAUUGUAAACAUUCCUCGUAAAAUAGUCAUGGUUGUAGAAUAAGGAAGAUUGGUUUCUAAGUCAUUUUUUACUGUAAAAAAACAACAACACAAAAACAGAAAAUAAACUGAUCUACAGUUGAGAUUUUAUACAACUACAGUUUAUCUUCCAGCAUUAUAGGGAUGUUCCUUCCUCAUUACUAAGUUGUUUUGAUUUUACAAACCCACAGAAGACUAUUAAUAAAAAGGGGAAUGACUGUAAUAGGACCAGCCAGUGUGAAGAGCAAUCUACAGAAGAAAAAGCUCUGGAAAUGUUCCCCUAGGAUACCCAGUUACUUCCUGAUUUCUUGCCUAGGCAAAUGAUGUCAUACAUCCCAGAAUUCUUCAGGAGGGACAACAACUAGGUUACUAUUUAGGUCCAAAGUGAACAUGGCAGUACCUCCAGAAAAAUGUAAUGAGGAAAAGCAUAGGACUAUAAUCAAGUUCCUGUUUCUCCAAGGGAAAGGUGUGAAGCAGAUCCGUGAUGAAAUGUCACAAACUUUGGGUGACAGUAGCCCAUAUGCAACAGUUAAAUGUUGUGUUGUCAAUUUUAAAACUGCCCAUUUCUGUGUUGAAAUUGAGAAACCCAGUAGAAGGCCUGUUUCUGUCUCUGUGCCUGUGUUCUGUCAGAUAUGGCCACUCGUCAGAAUUGGUAACGGAAGUGACGUUCCGUCGCCACCAUCUUGCUACACCCCGCACUCCUCCAGAGUAAUGAUACACAGAGAGGGGGCCAAGCGGACAUCUUGUUACACCCACCAGACAUGUUUCGUCAUGUAAGACUCAUGACUCCCAUGAUUAAGUCUUACAUGACGAAACAUGUCGGGGCGUGGCUACGCAGUGAACAUCUGAACCUGUAAACCAACGUGAUAUAUUCCAACAAGUUACAUCGCGCUAGUGACCAGGGAAUGAGAGGAAUUAUUUUUAAACAGGAAAGCGCCAGCACAACGGAGGGGAGGUGGUGAGAAGCAUCUGGUUUUUGUACAGGUCCGCUGUGACCAUAGUUCAUCAGCCAAAAGGAAUAUUGUGGAAGUUUGCUUUGAUGUGAUUCACGCUUGUUUUUGAGUUUACUUUUGUGAGUACAACCUUUGCAGAUUUAUGUGGUGUGUCAUUAAACUGAUUUAGCAGUAUUACACUA